AUUGUCCAUUCCUCAAAGAAGCAGCAAUUAGAGCAUCAGAUAUGGGAGACUCGUGUUAUGGUGGUAAUGGGGAUAAACAUCUGCAACAGCCAGGGAGCCUGGUUGUCUGCAAAGGAGAUUAAAAGGUUAUCCUAGGACUGAUCCAAAACCUAGAGAAGUCGCCUGAAGGACACCCAGUUGAUUUCAAUGGGUGCCCCAAAAUAUUCUAGGUGCCAUGCAAAUGCACACAACAUGACAUGCUUCGAAGAUCUUACAGUCUACGGGUCUGAGAUGUACCCAGCUCUUAGGACAGGAGACUGCAGUUAGCGAGUGGCCGUGAGACUAAAUUAAUUCAGGUCACACUUUAGAAGGGAGAUCUCCAGACGGUAUAGUUUGACACAGGCAAAGAUUUUGCAGAGUGGCUGCACUGGUAAAACAGAUUUAAACUGCAAGGACAACAUUAACAAUGGUGAAAG